AUGAUGAAACGUCAUCGUAGAGAAGAAAGGGCCUUGAGGAACUGGAAAAGACCACCUUCACAAUUCUCACAAAUGCUCACCAAAUGGGCCGAUUCUUGGAAGUUCACCGACUUAACUCUCAACCAGGAUGGCGAUUUAUGGCAGCAGGGUUGGUCUGCCAAUUCUCAACCCAGGCCUAUUAGAAGAGUGCGAGAAAAUGAAGACAUCCCGCAUAAUGGACCAGCGGGGGUUCGCACAUGGGCAGAGUCCUGGAGGUCAACGAGACAUCAGCAUCUUCUGGAAAGACAAGCGACAAGUGCAUCUACCCAACCGGUCUGUCACCUUACAUAUGCACGAUGCGUUGCAGACUGGGAAAAAUCAUGGAAGUCAUCAACUCAUCUGCGUCGUCAUGAUAGACCCUCCAUGACGGCAUGGACUGAUUCUUGGAAGUUCUCCAGCUUUGAGGAUCUCCAACGUGAGCAUGCAUGGUUUGAGAGAUCAAAGGAAAUCAAAGGCAGAAAGGAACUUUGCAGAGCAUCAAAUGCAUUUAGCAGAUCAUUUGAUUCUCAGACAUUCAAAGAACGAUAUCCUGCGGAUGAGUGGAAUGACUCCUGGAGGGUUAAGAAGAGGUUUGAUGGUCCAGGACUUGCGCAACUGAUGAAAAACGAAGUGCUAAAUUGGGAUAACUCUUGGAUGUUGACCAGCACAGAGUUUUAUCAAAAACAAGGUGAAUGUUAUUUGAAUUCUCACCUGACGUCUGAUGUCAAGAGCCAUGCGAUGCUCAAAUCAGUGCAGAUCGAGAGCUGGUCAGAUUGGGGUCGAUCGUGGAAGAUGUCAAACCCACAACCACCAAAGAACAUCGCCUCGUGGGUUGAUGCAAAGCCAAGAUCAUUCAAUGCACAAGACCUGAUUCUUUGGUCCAAACACAAAUGCAUCUAUAAUUUACCUUCUGCUUCGCUCAGAGACUUAAAGCUGAAAAUGUGGAGCAAGUCCUGGAGGUUCAUGACGAUAGACCUUGACUCACAACAAAGGAAGGAUGAGGAUAAAUCUGUAAUAAUGUCAAAGACUAUAAAGAUAAGAAAGCAUAUGUACUCGGAUAUAGAUCAGCUGAAACCACAAAUGAAGAGAUGGAGUGAUGCAUGUAAAAUAGCAAAGAUGCAACCACAAGCAAAGCGUAACGUUCAAUCCAAAUCUGACAACAUGGAAGAUGAAGAUGAAGAAAUGUUUGCAGAUUGGAUGGAAUCUUGGAAAUUCUCAAAUGAUUUAAAAACUUGUGAGCCUGCAAAUGUAUCUCUGAGCAAUUGGAAAAAGUCUUGGAAGUUUCUCCUUGAUCCGAAUGUAACUAUCAACGGCCCAAAAACUAGCAAGAAUCGAUGA
ensembl:lncRNA